CCUACGGGUGGCAGCAGUGAGGAAUAUUGGUCAAUGGCCGGAAGGCUGAACCAGCCAAGCCGCGUGAAGGACGAAGGUGCCAAGCAUUGUAAACUUCUUUUGUCAAGGGACAAAAUCAGGCUCGAGAGCCUGACCGAGGGUACUUGAAGAAAAAGCAUCGGCUAACUCCGUGCCAGCAGCCGCGGUAAUACGGAGGAUGCGAGCGUUAUCCGGAAUCAUUGGGCGUAAAGAGGGAGCAGGCGGCCUGGAGGGUCUAUUGUUAAAAGGCAGUGGCUUAACCAUUGCAAGGCGAAGAAACCGGCAGGCUAGAGUUCUAAAGAGGAUCGUGGAAUUCCAUGUGUAGCGGUGAAAUGCGUAGAUAUAUGGAGGAACACCAGUGGCGAAGGCGACGAUCUGGGAAGAAACAGACGCUGAGUCCCGAAAGCGUGGGGAGCAAAUAGGAUUAGAUACCCUUGUAGUC
rnacentral:rRNA from 1 species